AUCAUUUUCUCCCAGAGCUCUUAAGCUUUCCUUGAAGUUUUAAUUUCUCAUGAUUUCCACAGAUCUUAAGUUAUCUUUCUGCACUUAAUCUCUUUUUUUUAUCAAGCUGCUCAGAAGCAGAAAACAAACUCCAGAAAUGAUUGAAGAUACGUGUUCAACAGGUUGUACUGCAUUGCAGCCAAAUUCAUCCCAAAGGUAAGGCUGAUUUAGUCUAGUUAUGUGGACUGGUUGCAUGGAGGUAGUUUCAUUUCAGGUGUAACAGAAACUGACUUAGUCCUCUGUUUCCUUCCAUUGAAACCUUCGAUGACAACAACAUGCCUGGAAACCAACCACUCAGUAAAAAGCCGAUCCCAGCCAUACAGGUAGAUUUUACAAUACAAGAACAUUUUAAAGAAAAAAGAGAGACAAAACUGAACUGAUGUUUCAAAAGUUGUUCACCAUGUUCUCUUAGCACAUUGUUCGAUGACUUUUAGUUCUUUAUCUGCACUGACUUGUAGAAUGUAAUCUACUUUUUUUCCCCCACCACCUAGAAGAGCAGGCAGCAGAAUCCAGAGUUUAUUGAAGAUAUGCGUUCAACAGAUUCUACUGAACAACAGCAGUUACCUCAAAGGUAAGCUUAAGAAUAUUCAUGAUGGCUCACUGUGGACUGGUUCCAUGAUGGUAGUUUGGUUAGGGUGUAAAAAAAGCUAAAUCAAACACAUAAAAUCUCACACUGGCCUAAAACCAUUUUAUUGAAGGCUAAAUUGAAGGAAAGGAAAAAACAAAAACUAAUAGACAAGUCUUUUAGCGUUCUGUUCAAUAAUGAAAUUAUAAUGACAAGUUAAGUGUUUAAUUUUGCAAAUUGAAUUGAGUUUCUUUCUAUCCUUUCUAUCACAUAGAGAAGAAGACCAGGAGGAAGAUGAUCCCCCCUGUACACCGGAGAUUAUGACCAUCACACCCACUCACCCACCUGGAAAUUCUCCAGCAG